rnacentral:lncRNA from 1 species
GUAAUUUUGUCUGAAAUUGGCAUUUAUUAUAAGUAAAAGGAAGUUCAAGAGUGAAUUUUUACUGGUUUUUUUUAUAAUAUUAAAUAUUAUACAUACAAUUGAUUGAUUACUGGAAACUUGAAGUCCAGUGGCAAAUAUUUCAUGCAUGUUCGGGACGAUAUGAAAAUUAUAGUUUAGAAGCAGUUUUAAAAGAGAGGCGUAAUAUACAAGAAAGACAUUCAAACUCAUAAAUUGAAAAUAAACUGACAACGCCAUGGCUAAAAAAUAAACUGACCAUAAACUGACAAAACAACGCCAUGGCUAAAAAAAUAAACUGACAACGCCAUGGCUAAAAAAUAAACUGACAACGCCAUGGCUAAAAAAGAAAAAGAUCAAAAGUCACACAGUAGUACAUAAAACACAUAAAACUAAAGACUAAGCAACACCCCCGCAAACUAAAGACUAAGCAACACGAACCCCGCCAAAAACUAAAGACUAAGCAACACGAACCCCGCCAAAAACUGGGGGUGAUUUUAGGUGCACAGUUCUGGAAUGGUAAAUAUGUUCUGCUCCACAUGUAGUACCCACUUUACCGUCUUGUAACUGUACAGACAGUGUUAGUUAUAUCAAAAUAAACUUUUUUUCUGGAGUCGGG